AUGUUCUAAUUGAUAAAGCCAGUAGUACUAAUGUCUGGUUGGAAGACAUACUAAUGUGAAAAAAAAAACUAGUUGAUCUUUUGAGAGUUCUUUGAAUCAAUUACUUCGAUGAAUAUGCCCUGCUUCAACCAAAGAGCGUCGUUGGAGUCUGGUUCAACAGUUGAAGAUGGCUGAAUAAGCAAGUUUACUCGAAUAAUGAGUUUGAUAAUUAGCAUGUUUGUGCAGGGGUGCAGUGUUGGCAUGUGAUCUUCCAUGGCUAAGAAGUCUACUUCUUCAACAUGCAAGUGGAAUAAUGUCUCAUGAAUCUUCUUUACUAGCCCUUAAUUCUUUAUAUCAGCUUAGUGAAUCCAGAAUCUCAACAUUCAAAUCAGCCAUUCAACUAUCAAGUUGCUUGGAGCCUUGGGACUCUCUUUAUGGAAAGAUUGAUGAUGAUUCCUUUGAAGAUCAUGUUGGCAGUAAAACCAGGAAUAUAUGAGGACAAGGAUGACAGCGAUGAAGACAUAUCUGACGAGGCCACGGAAUCUGAUCAAGAUGAAAAAAGUAGUAACGGAUGAUGAAGCACUUGGUCGACUCAGUUGAUCAAUCAUUCAGCCAUCUAGUGAUAUCGCCAACAUUCGUUAAAGGAAUAGGCUCCGGACCAGCUAGCAUAAAGAGCCCAACGUGUCGUGUUGUGCCUUGGUUAAUAGGAGGCACAGUAUACGCAGGAGUCGAAAAUCAAAGCAAAAGGGGAAUAUACGCAAGGAAGGACUGUAGUUUUAUUUAAGGAUUAAUAAGAAAAGCUAAUUGAACCUUGCAAAUUACAAUCCUCGCCCAGAGUAAGUACUGACCAUCUCUUAGCCUAGUAGUUACACUAGGAGUGGUGGUCUGGUGGUGUUUUUCAUAAUCUUCAUCUGGAUUUUCCAUCCCGAAA